UGGGGAAUAUUGGACAAUGGGCGCAAGCCUGAUCCAGCCAUGCCGCGUGGGUGAUGAAGGCCCUAGGGUUGUAAAGCCUUUUCAGCGGGGAAGAUAAUGACGGUACCCGCAGAAGAAGCCCCGGCUAACUUCGUGCCAGCAGCCGCGGUAAUACGAAGGGGGCUAGCGUUGCUCGGAAUUACUGGGCGUAAAGCGCACGUAGGCGGCUUUCUAAGUCGGGGGUGAAAUCCUGGAGCUCAACUCCAGAACUGCCUUCGAUACUGGAAAGCUAGAGUCCGGGAGAGGUGAGUGGAACUGCGAGUGUAGAGGUGAAAUUCGUAGAGAUUCGCAAGAACACCAGUGGCGAAGGCGGCUCACUGGCCCGGUACUGACGCUGAGGUGCGAAAGCGUGGGGAGCAAACAGG
rnacentral:rRNA from 1 species